AUUGAACGCUGGCGGCAUGCCUUACACAUGCAAGUCGAACGGCAGCGCGGACUUCGGUCUGGCGGCGAGUGGCGAACGGGUGAGUAAUACAUCGGAACGUACCCUGUUGUGGGGGAUAACUAGUCGAAAGACUAGCUAAUACCGCAUACGACCUGAGGGUGAAAGUGGAGGACCGCAAGGCCUCACGCAGCAGGAGCGGCCGAUGUCUGAUUAGCUAGUUGGUGGGGUAAAGGCCCACCAAGGCGACGAUCAGUAGCUGGUCUGAGAGGACGAUCAGCCACACUGGGACUGAGACACGGCCCAGACUCCUACGGGAGGCAGAAGUGGGGAAUUUUGGACAAUGGGGGCAACCCUGAUCCAGCAAUGCCGCGUGUGUGAAGAAGGCCUUCGGGUUGUAAAGCACUUUUGUCCGGAAAGAAAUCGCGCUGGUUAAUACCUGGCGUGGAUGACGGUACCGGAAGAAUAAGCACCGGCUAACUACGUGCCAGCCGCCGCCGUAA
rnacentral:rRNA from 1 species